CCUACGGGAGGCAGCAGUGGGGAAUAUUGGACAAUGGGCGCAAGCCUGAUCCAGCAAUGCCGCGUGAGUGAUGAAGGCCUUAGGGUCGUAAAGCUCUUUUACCAGGGAUGAUAAUGACAGUACCUGGAGAAUAAGCUCCGGCUAACUCCGUGCCAGCAGCCGCGGUAAUACGGAGGGAGCUAGCGUUGUUCGGAAUUACUGGGCGUAAAGCGUACGUAGGCGGUUAUUCAAGUCAGAGGUGAAAGCCCGGGGCUCAACCCCGGAACGGCCUUUGAAACUAGGUAGCUAGAAUCUUGGAGAGGUCAGUGGAAUUCCGAGUGUAGAGGUGAAAUUCGUAGAUAUUCGGAAGAACACCAGUGGCGAAGGCGACUGACUGGACAAGUAUUGACGCUGAGGUACGAAAGCGUGGGGAGCAAACAGGAUUAGAUACCCUGGUAGUCCACGCCGUAAACGAUGAUAACUAGCUGUCCGGGCACUUGGUGCCUGGGUGGCGCAGCUACGACAUUAAGUUAUACCGUCCGUCGGGUAGGUACGGUCGCGAGAAUUAAACUAACAAUAGAAUUAGACGGCGUGAGACGUGCCGACGGACGACGACGACGGGAGGUAGG
rnacentral:rRNA from 1 species